UACGUAGGGUCCGAGCGUUGUCCGGAAUUAUUGGGCGUAAAGGGCUCGUAGGCGGUUUGUUGCGUCGGGAGUGAAAACUUACAGCUUAACUGUGAGCGUGCUUCCGAUACGGGCAGACUUGAGGUAUUCAGGGGAGAACGGAAUUCCUGGUGUAGCGGUGGAAUGCGCAGAUAUCAGGAGGAACACCGGUGGCGAAGGCGGGUCUCUGGGCAGUAACUGACGCUGAGGAGCGAAAGCGUGGGGAGCAAACAGG
rnacentral:rRNA from 1 species